CGCUGUAGCGGGUGCGCCCGGUGCUCCGCGGGCCGGCGGCGCCCGGACGGGAGCGCGCGAGGCUCAACCUUCCCGCGUCAGCGGCCGCCUCACGGGAAUGUGAGGGAGGGAGUCUGGGCACCCCCGAACCGAGCCCUGACAGGGAGGGAGACACCGGUCCCUCCGUGAGGGGAGAACACCUAACAGCGAGGAGUGACAGCGCUCAUCCCGUGAAUGGAGGGAGAACCCCUCACGGUGACAGCGCUCGUCCCGUGAAUGGAGGGAGAACCCCUCAGGGGUGACAGCGCUCGUCCCGUGAAUGGAGGGAGAACACCUCACGGUGACAGCGCUCGUCCCGUGAAUGGAGGGAGAACACCUCACAGACCAAGGGCAUGAGGGUCCCGGCGCCGCAGCCCUGAGGGGCAGCCACAGCCCCCGAGCGCCCCGUCGGCAGCACAAGCGGCCACAGCGUGUCCUUCAGAGCUCUCACAUGUUGUUCUCGCUUCUAUUUGAAAUUAGAAAUACCUUGAGAGAACAGACUUAACAUCACCAUCUCCAAUUCCAGGGCUGCCGCUGCCGCGUAUUGACUCACCUGAAGUUACCCCCCUCAAGCAUCCAGCGCGCAGGCAUCGUUUCCUCAGAGAAACAUCAUUUAACCACCCUGAGAAGAUAAACUCAACCUUCUCCUACUCAGCAGAUAAAGGCAAGUUAACUGCAAACUUCAGAAUAAAAAUCAAAAUAAUAAUUCUAUUUGCUUUCCCCAUUAAGCAAUUCCCUUCCACAUACACAUUUCUGUCCUUCAGCAAUGCAGCAGAACCCAAACUGUACACAGGUUUGGAUCUCAGCACUAGAGGGAAGUUAAAAAUACAUAAAGCUCUAGAGGAAUAAUAAAAUUACUUUUUCAAGACACAGCAGUUAACUAGAUAAACAACCACCCAAUUCAGCACAGAACACAAAUAUUCACAUAAAUCAGAAAACUCCCAGUAUCACAGCAAGUAGGAACACAACAGACCAAGUUUUAUCAUUAGCUAUAUGACACAUUAACCCCCUGCCUUUUACAGGGGCCAUACAUUCCAUCACCAUCAUCACAUUUCACUACUGUGGAAUCAGCACCAUUUUGUUUUGGAAGAGGAGGAUUCAACAGAAAGAAGAACAGGACACAGGGCAAAUAGAAAAUGCUUUGUAAUUUGCUGCCAUCUGGCAGCAGUGAAGAGCAAGACAGGUAAAAAAAAUAGAUUUACAACAGCAGCCUAAUUACACCACAGAGCCACACUCCACACUCUGUCCUGUUUCAGAAAAGUCAGUUUAAGAGAUUUUUUUAUUUGUCAUAGGAACAUCUCACCACCUUUCCCCCAGACAAGCUCAUGUCUCUCGUUAUUUCAUGGCAAGCAGCAGAGCCUGAAGAGCUCCAAAAGUUGAGACAUUUGAACAUUUCAUAUUUUACAGCCAAAAUAAUCAAUAUUAGAAAUCAAACACAAUUCAAAUGCCUUAAUUAACACGAAAGCUUUAGCACACACUAUCAAGAAACACAGACAUUCUGCAUGAAGCUUUGAAUUCCCUUCCCACUUCCAGGUGUUUAUUCUAAAGUGGCAACACUGGCCUAAGGAGGAUCAGUUGGUUGCAAUUCCUAAAGCUACUGCCAACUGUAAGAGAGUCCUAAACAGCUCCAGCUGUUGAGGCACAGGACACACUCUUUGAUUAUACUGCAGAGGAAUGCAAACAAUUAUGAACCUGCAACAAACAAACUGUAUUUUUGGAU
ensembl:lncRNA